rnacentral:rRNA from 1 species
CAGAGGAUGCAAGCGUUGUUCGGAAUUACUGGGCGUAAAGCGCGCGUAGGUGGUCUUGUGUGUCUGGUGUGAAAUCCCUUGGCUCAACCAAGGAAGUGCGCCGGAAACUGCGAGACUUGAAUGCGGGAGAGGAUGGUAGAAUUCUCAGUGUAGAGGUGAAAUUCGUAGAUACUGGGAGGAACACCGGUGGCGAAGGCGACCAUCUGGACCGUAAUUGACACUAAAGUGCGAAAGCGUGGGUAGCAAACAGGAUUAGAUACCCUGGUAGUCCACGCCGUAAACGAUGAUCACUAGAUGUAGGAGGUAUUGACCCCUUCUGUAUCGCAGCUAACGCAUUAAGUGAUCCGCCUGGGGAGUACGGUCGCAAGAUUA